AUGGACCCAACUGAGAUUUUGAACGUUCGGUUUCAUAUUGGAGGGAAGUUCAUCCGCAUUGGUCCAAAUUUGGACUAUGUUGGGGAUCAAGCAAUGUCAGAGAUUGAGAGGGAUAAAUUGUCUUUGCAGGAAGUGAAAGGCUAUUUAAAAGAUCAUACUCAGUUGAUGGAAUCGAUGAAGUUCUAUUUUCUGCUUCCUGGAAAAGAGCUUAUCAAUGGCUUGGUGUUCCUUAAUGAUGACAGUUGGUGUGUGAAGAUGGCUGAGUACAUUUGUGUUGGAGGAGUUGCUGAUGUGUAUGUGGAGUAUCAUGGAGAGGAAGAUAGCAAUGACAGCAGCAGUGGGAGUGAUUUUGAGGAUGAAAUCAUGGAACAGAGUGAUGAUGAUGAAUUAGAUGCAGUUAUAACUGCUGAAGAACCA
rnacentral:rRNA from 1 species